AUGAUUGGAUUGUUUCUGAGAUGUGCUGGAGAGCCGCUUUGGCUAAUUGCUUGCAGACUGCGAUCCAACCAGGCUUGCCAACCGUGGAGGCAGUAUGGAGGGGCUAAGAGGGAAAGGAAAGUGUCUUAUCAGCUCAUCUUUGCAUCGUUCAUCUUACAGAGGCCCAGUGAAGAAGAAGCAUUCAUUAAAUAUUUUUGGAAGGAAGGAAAGAAAGAAGAAAGGGAAGAAUGAGUUACUUAGAAGAGUGAUUAAAUGAUUAAAAGCAUUUACUCUGGAGUAAAAUUGGAUUUCAAAUCUGAACACUGCAACUCACCAGCUGGCUGAUUUGGGGGCAGAUUAUUCAACUUUCAUGUAUAGAAAAAAGAUAACAAUAUCUACCUCAAAGAGCUGUGAUAAGGGUUACGAGAUUAAUUCUGCAGAGAGUUCAGCAUAGUUUUCAACAUGUGGGAAGCACUCGGUGCCUGUUAUUCUCAUUAUUAUUAUACAGUUUACUGGAACUCCUCUUAAAUCUGAUAGACGCUUUGCAAAUGAUUGGGUAACAGUUGCGUUGGUCCUUGCUGAAAACAGGCAUGGGAAUCCUAUGAUCACUAGAAACAAGUUGUAAAUAAUCAGUGCUGUCCUGGAACUGCACACCAGAGAAGAUGGGCUGCCACUGUCACCAACAAGCCUGACCCUGUUGGCAGUGUGGAAUUUUAACCAGUUCAGACAGUGCUUAUCUGAACAGCGCUUAUGCAGUGUUCUGAACAUUUGAACAGUGCUUAUCUGUAAGUUCAAGGCACAGGGCUGAGGGUUCUGAAGCUUUCAGAUAUAAAUUGCACUCUGCCCUCCAGGAGCUGGUAACUCAUAAAUCACUCUAAGAAAAAGCAGACUGUGAUCAAGCGUUCCAGUCCACGGCAGACCACAGUAUGGACCCAAAGGGUGAGGAGAGGUGACCUGCUAAUUGGGGGAAAAUGGGUUCUGGGUUCAAAUUGCUGUCUCACUGUUUUCUGGCUGGGAAAAACUUUACUCAUAUGCAAAGUGAGAGCGCUUGGAGUAACCAACCACUUUAUGGAAUGGUGGGAACAUUAGAAGAGAUCAUGCUUGCAGCUGGACAUAACAUCUGGUCAGUGCUCAAUAAAUGGUAG
rnacentral:lncRNA from 1 species